AGCGGCGGAUGGGUGAGUAACGCGUGAGAAACCUGCCUUUUACAAAGGGAUAGCCUCUGGAAACGGGGAUUAAUACCUUAUGAUACUUUUUCUCCACAUGGAAAAAAAGUCAAAGCGUAAAGCGGUAAAAGAUGGUCUCGCGUCCCAUUAGCUAGUUGGUGAGAUAAAAGCUCACCAAGGCAAUGAUGGGUAGCCGGCCUGAGAGGGUGACCGGCCACACUGGAACUGAGACACGGUCCAGACUCCUACGGGAGGCAGCAGUGGGGAAUAUUGGACAAUGGAUGGAAAUCUGAUCCAGCCAUGCCGCGUGCAGGAAGACGGCCUUAUGGGUUGUAAACUGCUUUUAUACGGGAGCAAUAAGGGUUACGAGUAAUCCGAUGAGAGUACUGUAUGAAUAAGGAUCGGCUAACUCCGUGCCAGCAGCCGCGGUAAUACGGAGGAUCCGAGCGUUAUCCGGAAUUAUUGGGUUUAAAGGGUGCGUAGGCGGCCAUUUAAGUCAGCGGUGAAAUUUUGCAGCUUAACUGUAACAGUGCCGUUGAUACUGUUUGGCUAGGAUUUGGUUGUAGUGUGCGGAAUGUGUGGUGUAGCGGUGAAAUGCUUAGAUAUCACACAGAACACCGAUUGCGAAGGCAGCACACUAAGUCAUUAUUGACGCUGGGGCACGAAAGUGUGGGGAUCAAACAGGAUUAGAUACCCUGGUAGUCCACACUGUAAACGAUGAUAAACUCGCUGUCGGCGAUACACAGUCGGUGGCCAAGCGAAAGCAUUAAGUUAUCCACCUGGGGAGUACGACCGCAAGGUUGAAACUCAAAGGAAUUGACGGGGGCCCGCACAAGCGGAGGAACAUGUGGUUUAAUUCGAUGAUACGCGAGGAACCUUACCCGGGCUCGAACGGUGCAUGAAUAUACGAGAGAUUGUAUAGUCCUUCGGGACAUGUAUAGAGGUGCUGCAUGGUUGUCGUCAGCUCGUGCCGUGAGGUGUCGGCUUAAGUGCCAUAACGAGCGCAACCCUUGUCAUUAGUUGCCAUCAGGUCAAGCUGGGGACUUUAAUGAGACUGCCACCGUAAGGUGUGAGGAAGGGGGGGAUGACGUCAAAUCAGCACGGCCCUUAUGUCCGGGGCGACACACGUGUUACAAUGGGAGGUACAGAGGGCAGCUAUCCGGUGACGGAAUGCUAAUCUCCAAAACCUUUCUCAGUUCGGAUUGGAGUCUGCAACUCGACUCCAUGAAGGUGGAUUCGCUAGUAAUCGCGCAUCAGCCAUGGCGCGGUGAAUACGUUCCCGGGCCUUGCACACACCGCCCGUCAAG
rnacentral:rRNA from 1 species